rnacentral:rRNA from 1 species
AGAGUUUGAUCCUGGCUCAGGACGAACGCUGGCGGCGUGCCUAAUACAUGCAAGUCGAACGCUUCUUUUUCCACCGGAGCUUGCUCCACCGGAAAAAGAGGAGUGGCGAACGGGUGAGUAACACGUGGGUAACCUGCCCAUCAGAAGGGGAUAACACUUGGAAACAGGUGCUAAUACCGUAUAACAAUCGAAACCGCAUGGUUUUGAUUUGAAAGGCGCUUUCGGGUGUCGCUGAUGGAUGGACCCGCGGUGCAUUAGCUAGUUGGUGAGGUAACGGCUCACCAAGGCCACGAUGCAUAGCCGACCUGAGAGGGUGAUCGGCCACAUUGGGACUGAGACACGGCCCAAACUCCUACGGGAGGCAGCAGUAGGGAAUCUUCGGCAAUGGACGAAAGUCUGACCGAGCAACGCCGCGUGAGUGAAGAAGGUUUUCGGAUCGUAAAACUCUGUUGUUAGAGAAGAACAAGGAUGAGAGUAACUGUCAUCCCUGACGGUAUCU